ensembl:snoRNA
UCCCUUCAAAAAGCACUUGCGUUGUCUGCUCAGUGGCUGGGUGAGUUGUCGUAGAAGGGCAGACUGAAUUCAUCUCUUUGGGUGAGAAGGCAGCGACCCAGUGACUGACUGAUCUCAAUCAGGGAUGAGACAGUA